GACAGAGGGUGCGAACGUUGCUCGGAAUUACUGGGCGUAAAGCGCGUGUAGGCGGGUAAUCAAGUCAGGUGUGAAAUCCCUGGGCUCAACCCAGGAACUGCACUUGAAACUGGUUGCCUUGAGUGUUGGAGAGGGAAGCGGAAUUCCUGGUGUAGAGGUGAAAUUCGUAGAUAUCAGGAGGAACACCGGUGGCGAAGGCGGCUUCCUGGACAAUUACUGACGCUGAGACGCGAAAGCGUGGGGAGCAAACAGG
rnacentral:rRNA from 2 species